rnacentral:rRNA from 1 species
AUGAGGAGUCUUAUCCUGAAUAGAUUGAAAAAUGCAGCACAUUGUAGUUCAAAUACAGUGCUCGCAGACAAAAGACAUCUAAAAUUAUGUUAUUGCAGCCGGGUGGUGUCUCUGUCAACAUGCACCAAGGUUGGCGCCGUCAGCUUUGUAUUUGGCGUCGUGGUUGGCUUCACCCUGAAGAAAAGGCUGCGCCGGUGGGCUGCCAAGCUGCUCAAGAGAAUUAAGGACGACGAGUAG